GAUACCAGGGUCAAAAGGUCAUGCGUUUCAUGCAAGCAUGAAAAAGCGUGACUUUGGGACCCGUAAAACAUGAGAAAGCAGCCCGAUUAGGGCGGAUUUCAAAUGUUUUAGGAUUGCGGGAGCAUGAAAAUGCGGAGCAAUCCGUAGGUAUC
rnacentral:sRNA from 1 species